AAUAUAAUUUUUUUUGAAUUAAAUUUAUUAUUUUAAAUUUAGUUAUAUAGUUUAAAUAAAAUAUUAAAAUUUUUAGUAAUUAAAUGAAAAAUUAGGGUUAAUUAUAGAGAAUAGUAUAUAAAUAGAUUUAAAUAAAAUUUUUAAAAGAUAGAUUAAUUAUUUUUACCUUUUGUAUCAGGGUUUAAAUAAAAUUUAAUAAAUUUUUAUUUCUCGAAAAUUUUUGAUUUAAUUUAUUAUUAUUAUUAAUGUGGAAAAAUUAAAUUGAAUAUUAAAUUAGUAAUUAAAAGUUAGUCGUUAAAAUUAAUUUCUAGUUAUUAAAUAAAUUAAUUUAAUUAAGUUAUUAAUAGAAUUAGUUUAAAAAAUUUAAAUUAAUUAUAUUAAUUAAAAAAUUAUUUAAAGUUUAUUUUAGAUAAUUUUUAUAUUUUAUAAUAAUAUAAAGAUUUUAUUUAGAUUUAAAAUUGAUUUAUAUAAAUAAUUUUUUAUAAAUAAAAAUUUUUUUAUUUAAAUUUUUAAUUAAAAUUAAGUUUAUAUUUAAUAAUUAUUUUUAAUAAAAAAAAAUAAGGUAUAAUUUUAAAAUUAGUAAUUCUUUAAAUUUAAAUUUAGUAAUUCGGCAAAUAUAAUUUACAGCUGUUUAUCAAAAACAUGUCUUUAAGAAAUUUGUUUAAAGUCUAAUCUGCUCACUGAUAAUUUAAAGAGCCGCAGUAUAUUGACUGUGCAAAGGUAGCAUAAUCAAUAGUUUUUUAAUUGAAAACUGGAAUGAAAGAUUGAAUGAUAAAUUAACUUUCUUAAUUUUAAAAAAUGAAUUUAAAAUUUAAGUUAAAAUUCUUAAAUGAUUUUAAAAGACGAGAAGACCCCAUAGAUUUUUAUUAAUUUAAAUAAUUAAUAUAAAUAAUUAUUUUAGUUAAUUUAAUUGGGGUGAUUUUGUGAUAUAAAAAACUUAAUUUUUUUUAACCAUAAAUAAUUGAAUCUUUUGAUUUAAAAUUUUUAAAUUAAAAUUAAAUUACCUUGGGGAUAACAGCGUAAUAUUAUUUAAGAGUUGAUAUCUAUAAUAAUGCUUGCGACCUCGAUGUUGAAUUAAGAAAUAUAUUGGAGUAGAAAUUAAUAUUAAUUAGUCUGUUCGACUAUUAAAUUCUUACAUGAUUUGAGUUCAGACCGGCGUAAGCCAGGUCAGUUUCUAUCUUUAAAUUUUUUUUGUGAAUAAGUACGAAAGGACAAUUUAUUAAUAAUAUUUAUUUUAAAUUU
rnacentral:rRNA from 1 species